rnacentral:rRNA from 1 species
UUCCUUCGGGAACUGGAGAGUGGCGCACGGGUGAGUAACGCGUGGGGACCUACCUCUUAGUGGGGGAUAACGGUUGGAAACGACCGCUAAUACCGCAUACGCCCUUCGGGGGAAAGAUUUAUCGCUAAGAGAUGGACCCGCGUUGGAUUAGAUAGUUGGUGAGGUAACGGCUCACCAAGUCAGCGAUCCAUAGCUGGUUUGAGAGGAUGAUCAGCCACACUGGGACUGAGACACGGCCCAGACUCCUACGGGAGGCAGCAGUGGGGAAUAUUGGACAAUGGGGGCAACCCUGAUCCAGCCAUGCCGCGUGAGUGAAGAAGGCCUUCGGGUUGUAAAGCUCUUUCAGAUGCGAAGAUGAUGACGGUAACAUCAGAAGAAGCCCCGGCUAAUUUCGUGCCAGCAGCCGCGGUAAUACGAAAGGGGCUAGCGUUGUUCGGAUUUACUGGGCGUAAAGGGCACGCAGGCGGUCUUGCCAGUCAGGGGUGAAAGCCCGGGGCUCAACCCCGGAACUGCCUCUGAUACUGCAAGACUAG